GCAUAUCAAUAAGCGGAGGAAAAGAAACCAACAGGGAUUGCCCUAGUAACGGCGAGUGAAGCGGCAACAGCUCAAAUUUGAAAUCUGGCUUCGGCCCGAGUUGUAAUUUGCAGAGGAAGCUUUAGGCGCGGCACCUUCUGAGUCCCCUGGAACGGGGCGCCAUAGAGGGUGAGAGCCCCGUAUAGUUGGAUGCCUAGCCUGUGUAAAGCUCCUUCGACGAGUCGAGUAGUUUGGGAAUGCUGCUCAAAAUGGGAGGUAAAUUUCUUCUAAAGCUAAAUACCGGCCAGAGACCGAUAGCGCACAAGUAGAGUGAUCGAAAGAUGAAAAGCACUUUGAAAAGAGGGUUAAAUAGCACGUGAAAUUGUUGAAAGGGAAGCGCUUGUGACCAGACUUGCGCCGGGCGGAUCAUCCGGUGUUCUCACCGGUGCACUCCGCCCGGCUCAGGCCAGCAUCGGUUCUCGCGGGGGGAUAAAGGCCCUGGGAACGUAGCUCCUCCGGGAGUGUUAUAGCCCAGGGCGUAAUGCCCUCGCGGGGACCGAGGACCGCGCAUCUGCAAGGAUG
rnacentral:rRNA from 1 species